rnacentral:rRNA from 1 species
GAAGGGAGCUAGCGUUGUUCGGAAUUACUGGGCGUAAAGGGCGCGUAGGCGGCUCUUUUAGUCAGGCGUGAAAGCCCCGGGCUUAACCUGGGAACAGCGUUUGAUACUGGAGAGCUUGAGUGUGGGAGAGGUUGGUGGAAUUCCCAGUGUAGAGGUGAAAUUCGUAGAUAUUGGGAAGAACACCGGUGGCGAAGGCGGCCAACUGGACCACAACUGACGCUGAGGCGCGAAAGCGUGGGGAGCAAACAGGAUUAGAUACCCUGGUAGUCCACGCCGUAAACGAUGUGUGCUUGACGUUGGCGGGUUUACCCGCCGGUGUCGCAGCUAACGCGAUAAGCACACCGCCUGGGGAGUACGGCCGCAAGGUUA